GACGAACGCUGGCGGCGUGCUUAACACAUGCAAGUCGAACGGAAAGGCCCUGCUUUUGUGGGGUGCUCGAGUGGCGAACGGGUGAGUAACACGUGAGUAACCUGCCCUUGACUCUGGGAUAACUUCAGGCAACUGGGGCUAAUACCGGAUAGGAGCUCCUGCUGCAUGGUGGGGGUUGGAAAGUUUCGGCGGUUGGGGAUGGACUCGCGGCUUAUCAGCUUGUUGGUGGGGUAGUGGCUUACCUAGGCUUUGACGGGUAGGCGGCCUGAGAGGGUGACGUGCCACAUUGGGACUGAGAGAUGGCGCAGACUCAUACGGGAAGCAGGAGUGUGUGGUAUUGGACAAUGGGCGGAAGCCUGUUACAGCAACGCCGAUUGCUGGAUGACUGCCUUCGGGUUUUAAUCGGCUUUCGACGGUGACGAUGCGUGAGUGACGGUAAUGGGUAAAGAAGCACGGGCUAACUACGGG
rnacentral:rRNA from 1 species